GACGAACGCUGGCGGCGUGCUUAACACAUGCAAGUCGAACGGAAAGGCCCUGCUUGCAGGGUGCUCGAGUGGCGAACGGGUGAGUAACACGUGGGUGAUCUGCCCCUUACUUUGGGAUAAGCCUGGGAAACUGGGUCUAAUACUGGAUAGGACCAUGCUGUAGGUGGUGUGGUGGACAGAUUAGUUUCGGUAAGGGAUGAGCUCGCGGCCUAUCAGCUUGUUGGUGGGGUAAUGGCCUACCAAGGCGUCGACGGGUAGCCGGCCUGAGAGGGUGGACGGCCACAUUGGGACUGAGAUGCGGCCCAGACUCCUACGGGAGGCAGCAGUGGGGAAUAUUGCACAAUUGGCGCAAGCCUGAUGCAGCGACGCCGCGUGGGGGAUGACGGCCUUCGGGUUGUAAACUCCUUUCAGCCAUGACGAAGCCCUUGUGGUGACGGUAGUGGUAGAAGAAGCACCGGCUAACUACGUG
rnacentral:rRNA from 1 species